rnacentral:rRNA from 1 species
GACAGAGGGUGCAAACGUUGUUCGGAAUCACUGGGCGUAAAGGGCGCGUAGGUGGCCCGUCAAGCGCGCGGUGAAAGCCCGGGGCUCAACCCCGGGUCGGCCGUGCGGACUGGCGGGCUCGAGCACUGUAGGGGCGGGUGGAAUUCCGGGUGUAGCGGUGGAAUGCGUAGAGAUCCGGAAGAACACCGGUGGCGAAGGCGGUCUGCUGGGCAGUUGCUGACGCUGAUGCGCGACAGCGUGGGGAGCAAACAGG